UACGUAGGGUGCGAGCGUUAAUCGGAAUUACUGGGCGUAAAGCGUGCGCAGGCGGUUUUGUAAGCCAGAUGUGAAAGCCCCGGGCUUAACCUGGGAAUGGCAUUUGGGACUGCAAGGCUAGAGUGCGGCAGAGGAGACUGGAAUUCCUGGUGUAGCAGUGAAAUGCGUAGAUAUCAGGAGGAAUACCGAUGGCGAAGGCAGGUCUCUGGGCUGACACUGACGCUCAGGCACGAAAGCGUGGGGAGCAAACAGG
rnacentral:rRNA from 1 species